AAGUCGUAACAAGGUUUCCGUAGGUGAACCUGCGGAAGGAUCAUUAACACAAAGUCACAGUUGUUUCCGGCUCUUCACGGGGCUGGGGCAACAUGUCACUUUUCAACCCCUCUUGCAAACCUGUUUUUUUCUGCUUCUUUCGAGAAACAGAAAAAGUCUUUGUAUUCCCGGGCCAGUUUGGAAAGUCGUUAUGACUCAAGAACUGGUCUGUUGGUUUCAACUUUUAACCCCUUGAACUGUCUUGGACUGAAAUCUGAGUGUUUCUUCCUACGUGGAGGAGGCAUUCUGCCAUUAUAUCAAACGCUGAACAACUCUUAGCAACGGAUAUCUUGGCUCUC
rnacentral:misc_RNA from 1 species